rnacentral:lncRNA from 1 species
GUGGACUUUGCAGAAGUGCCUAUAAAGCGUUCUUGCAAGCAUGUUUUUUUAAAUAGCCUUUAUGCAUUUCUUUUUGGCAGCAGUGAUUAUUCUUAUUAAUCCUGCUUCCAUAUUCUGCAUCUGUAGGUAGAAUAAUAAAGGUGUGGUCACUGAAAAUGUUGAGUUUUCUACUUAACUUUUCCAGGGAGAACCUGGGAUUGAAAAUAAUGUUGCUGGUCCUAAGGGUGAAAAGGGAAACCCAGCAUGGCAGGGAGACCCAGGACCACAGGGACUCCAAGGAGAGCAGGGCCAUGCUGGUCCUAAUGUAAGAACAGUAAUCAAUACAGAGUGGAAAUAAUUGAUCCAAGAUACAAUGAGGUUCCCACUGAGAGGAUGAACAAA